rnacentral:rRNA from 1 species
AGCAGCCGCGGUAAUUCCAGCUCCAAUAGCGUAUAUUAAAGUUGUUGCAGUUAAAAAGCUCGUAGUUGAAUUUCGGGGUCAGUAGGCUGGUCGUGCCACAGGUAUGUACUGGUCUCACUGAUUCCUCCUUCCUGAUGAACCAUAAUGCCAUUAAUUUGGUGUUGCGGGGAAUCUGGACUGUUACUUUGAAAAAAUUAGAGUGUUUAAAGCAGGCUAACGCUUGAAUACAUUAGCAUGGAAUAAUGGAAUAGGACGUUCGAUCCUAUUUUGUUGGUUUCUAGGAUUGACGUA